rnacentral:ncRNA from 2 species
CGAGAAGCUGCGACAAUCCGCGCGUCGAGAGCGACGUGUUCGGGAAACGGGUGAGAGCCCCGUACUGCCCCCGCAACGGUAAUCGUGUCAGACACCGGUGGACUUUCUAGGGUUUGU